AAUUUUGCACUACAGCGGCAACCCUGAUCCAUCCAUGCCGCGUGUGCGAAGAAGUUCUGCGGAUUUUGCACCACUUUAAAGUGGGGGGUUGAGCUUUAGGCUAUGUCCCUGAUGUUUCUCCGUUACGACCACAAUAAACAACUGCUAUCUCUGUUCCAUCAGCCGCGGUAAUCCACAGGGUGCAAGCGUUAAUCGGAAUUACUGGGCGUAAAGCGGGGGUAGGUGGUUCAGUAAGAUGGGUGUAAAAGUCCCGGGCUUAACCUGGGAACUGCUUUCAUAACUGCUGAGCUAGAGUACAGUAGAGGGUAGUGGAAUUUCCUGUGUAGCGGUGAAAUGCGUAGAUAUAGGAAGGAACACCAGUGGCGAAGGCGACUAACUGGACUGAUACUGACACUGAGGUGCGAAAGCGUGGGGAGCAAACA
rnacentral:rRNA from 1 species